rnacentral:tRNA from 1 species
GCCUGGGUGGCUCAGUCGGUUGAGUGUCUGACUUCAGCUCAGGUCAUGAUGUCAUAGCUCGUGGGCUCUAGUCCUGUGUCAGGCU